rnacentral:tRNA from 1 species
GGUGUGGCUCAGUUUGGCUAGAGCGCCUGCUUUGGGAGCAGGAAGUCGCAGGUUCGAAUCCUGUCACC